rnacentral:rRNA from 1 species
AUACGUAGGUGGCAAGCGUUGUCCGGAAUUAUUGGGCGUAAAGCGCAUGUAGGCGGUAAUUUAAGUCUGUCGUGAAACUGCGGGGCUCAGCCCCGUAUGGCGAUGGAAACUGGGUUACUUGAGUGCAGGAGAGGAAAGGGGAACUCCCAGUGUAGCGGUGAAACGCGUAGAUAUUGGGAAGAACACCGGUGGCGAAGGCGCCUUUCUGGACUGUGUCUGACGCUGAGAUGCGAAAGCCAGGGUAGCGAACGGGAUUAGAUACCCCGGUAGUCCUGGCCGUAAACGAUGGGUACUAGGUGUGGGAGGUAUCGACCCCUUCCGUGCCGGAGUUAACGCAAUAAGUACCCCGCCUGGGGAGUACGGCCGCAAGGCUUAAACUCAAAGGAAUUGACGGGG